AUUGAACGCUGGCGGCAGGCCUAACACAUGCAAGUCGAGCGGAUGAGAGGAGCUUGCUCUUUGAUUUAGCGGCGGACGGGUGAGUAAUGCCUAGGAAUCUGCCUGGUAGUGGGGGACAACGUUUCGAAAGGAACGCUAAUACCGCAUACGUCCUACGGGAGAAAGUGGGGGAUCUUCGGACCUCACGCUAUCAGAUGAGCCUAGGUCGGAUUAGCUAGUUGGUGAGGUAAUGGCUCACCAAGGCGACGAUCCACAACUGGUCUGAGAGGAUGAACAGUCACACUGGAACUGAGACACGGUCCAGACUCCUACGGGAGGCAGCAGUGGGGAAUAUUGGACAAUGGGCGCAAGCCUGAUCCAGCCAUGCCGCGUGUGUGAAGAAGGUCUUCGGAUUGUAAAGCACUUUAAGUUGGGAGGAAGGUCAGUAGCUCAAUACGUUGCUGAUUUGACGUUACCGACAGAAUAAGCACCGGCUAACUCUGUGCCAGCCGCCGCGGUAAAAC
rnacentral:rRNA from 1 species